rnacentral:rRNA from 1 species
GAUGAACGCUGGCGGCGUGCCUAAUACAUGCAAGUCGAGCGAACAGACGAGGAGCUUGCUCCUCUGACGUUAGCGGCGGACGGGUGAGUAACACGUAGAUAACCUACCUAUAAGACUGGGAUAACUUCGGGAAACCGGAGCUAAUACCGGAUAAUAUAUCGAACCGCAUGGUUCAAUAGUGAAAGAUGGCUUUGCUGUCACUUAUAGAUGGAUCCGCGCCGCAUUAGCUAGUUGGUAAGGUAACGGCUUACCAAGGCAACGAUGCGUAGCCGACCUGAGAGGGUGAUCGGCCACACUGGAACUGAGACACGGUCCAGACUCCUACGGGAGGCAGCAGUAGGGAAUCUUCCGCAAUGGGCGAAAGCCUGACGGAGCAACGCCGCGUGAGUGAUGAAGGUCUUCGGAUCGUAAAACUCUGUUAUUAGGGAAGAACAAAUGUGUAAGUAACUAUGCACGUCUUGACGGUACCUAAUCAGAAAGCCACGGCUAACUACGUG